rnacentral:rRNA from 1 species
AGUGAACGCUGGCGGCAGGCCUAACACAUGCAAGUCGAGCGGACGCACAGGAAGCUUUCGCCUCUGCGGGUGGCGGCUGACGGACGGGUGACAAGUAGAUAGCAUACCUCUAAGACGUGGGUGAUAUCGGAGGACAGGAGCUGAUACCGCAGCAUAUUUUGUACCGGAUAAUUCAAAAGUGAAAGACGCUCUUGCUGUCACUAAUAGAUGAAUCCGGGCUGGAUUAGCUAGUUGGUAAGGUCACGGCUUACCAAGGCUACGAUGCGUAGCCGACCUGAGAGGAUGAUCAGCCACACUGGAACUGAGACACGGUCCAGACUCCUACGGGAGGCAGCAGUAGGGAAUCUUGCGCAAUGGGCGAAAGCCUGAUGGAGCAACGCCGCGUGAGUGAUGAAGGCCUUCGGGUCGUAAAACUCUGUUAUUGGGGAAGAACAUAAGUGUAUGUAACCGUGGACGUUUUGACGGUACCCAAACAAAAAGCCCCGGCUAACUUCGUG